AGCUAGUCGGCGGGGUAACGGCCCACCGAGGCGACGAUGCGUAGGGGUUCUGAGAGGAAGGUCCCCCACACUGGUACUGAGACACGGACCAGACUCCUACGGGAGGCAGCAGUGAGGAAUAUUGGUCAAUGGCCGGGAGGCUGAACCAGCCAAGUCGCGUGAGGGAAGACGGCCCUACGGGUUGUAAACCUCUUUUGUCAGGGAGCAAGAGGCGGGUCGAGACCUGCUGUGAGAGUACCUGAAGAAAAAGCAUCGGCUAACUCCGUGCCAGCAGCCGCGGUAAUACGGAGGAUGCGAGCGUUAUCCGGAUUUAUUGGGUUUAAAGGGUGCGCAGGCGGAGGCACAAGUCAGCGGUAAAAUCGCGGGGCUCAACCCCGCUCCGCCGUUGAAACUGUGUCCCUUGAGUGCGCGAAGGGUAGGCGGAAUGCGUGGUGUAGCGGUGAAAUGCAUAGAUAUCACGCAGAACUCCGAUCGCGAAGGCAGCCUACCGGCGCGCAACUGACGCUCAUGCACGAAAGCGUGGGUAUCGAACAGGAUUAGAUACCCUGGUAGUCCACGCAGUAAACGAUGAAUGCUAUCUGUCCGGCCGGAAUGACGGCUGGGUGGC
rnacentral:rRNA from 1 species